rnacentral:rRNA from 1 species
AGGAUUAGAUACCCUGGUAGUCCUUGCCGUAAACGAUGCAUACUUGGUGUAGUUGGACUCAACCCCGACUGUGCCGUAGCUAACGCGUUAAGUAUGCCACCUGGGGAGUACGCCCGCAAGGGUGAAACUCAAAAGAAUUGACGGGGGCCCGCACAAGCAGUGGAGCAUGUGGUUUAAUUCGAUGCAACGCGAAGAACCUUACCUACUCUUGACAUC